rnacentral:rRNA from 1 species
AGGAAGAACAAGCAACUGCGAUUGCUUCAGUAAUGGCGAAUGAACUGGCAACAGACAGGCUCAGCCUGAAUGGAAUCCAGCUGCACCAGUGGUGCACCCGGCUUGUGUGAGAUUCAGCAGAUGCUGUGGGUUGAUGAAGCAGGUGGUGAGUCUGGUCAGGCCAUGCACCAAGAAUGUCCCUGGAAUGGGCAACUACAAAAGGAUACUGUCCUGUAUGGUGCUGUGUGCUGUGGUCUGGCUUGGCUAUGCUGCUUGCAUUCAAGAGUAGAGUUGCUUGGGACUGCAGUUUGAAGAGUGUGGUGUAUCCUACACAAGGCAGAAUACUGACAUGGAACCGAUAGAGCACAAGUAGAGUGAUUGAAGGAUGCAAAGCACCUUGCAAAGGGGGUUCAAUGUCCCUGAAGCCUCAACAGGAACGGCGGAGAGUGGUGCUGUGGUUAUCUGGUCGCCAUCAGGCAGCCAGUCCCAGUUGGACCUGGUCCCCGACCAUCCACUGGCUGGUUCUGUCCUGAGACCAGGGUCUCCCUGUCACAGGGGACCAACAUUGGAAUCCAAGCAACCUUGGGCUGGCCCAGAGCUGGUCACUGAGCUCCAUCCAGGAUGUUGGAAUGCCUAUCGUGACAGUUUGUGGUGACACUCAGCUUACCUGAGCCUGAGGGCAGACAGAUCAGUGAAGUCACAGCACAGCAAGAGUCCAUCUCCAAGAGGAGACUGUGUGUGAAGAGCCAUGCCAAACCUGCUUUGUCUCCGGACAUUGCAGUGCAUUGUGCCUUGAUAUGUUGAAGCCAUGCCAUGCUGCCUGUUGGCUGCACCAUCCUGAUGGUGGCUCACUGGUGGUGGAGGCUUUGCAGAGAGUGUGCAGUGCAGAUGGCAGUUGAGCUUGGUCUCAGGACCACUCUCUGCCCGUCUUGAAACACGGACCAAGGAGUCUAUGGAGCAGGCAGAUCUGAUGGUGUGAUCAGCAAAACCACUCGAUGUGGUGAAGGCAACAAACCCAGAUGGUGCAACUGAUGUGUGUGCAAGAGCAUGUAGUGGGCCCCUGUGCCCCAAACUUCAGUGGAGGAUUCUGCAUGGGACACCGGUCCCGAAGUCCAGUGGACAGGGUUCUGAGUGAAUGCGUGGUCCAUGGGACCCGAAAGGUGGUGAACUAUACCGUGCCAUGGCGAAGCUGUGGGAAACUGCAGUGGAAGCCAGAAGCUGUUCUGACGUGCAAAUUGUGUAGCCUGAGCUCGGCAUAGGGGUGAAAGGCCAAUCGAGCCACCUAGUAGC